rnacentral:rRNA from 1 species
GUUAGGAAUCUUCCACAAUGGGGGCAACCCUGAUGGAGCAACACCGCGUGCUGGAUGAAGGCCUUCGGGUCGUAAACAGCUUUUGUAUACGAAGAAUAUGACGGUAAUAUACGAAUAAGGGUCGGCUAACUACGUGCCAGCAGCCGCGGUCAUACGUAGGACCCAAGCGUUAUCCGGAGUGACUGGGCGUAAAGAGUUGCGUAGGCGGCUUAUUAAGCGAGUAGUGAAAUCUGGUGGCUCAACCAUCAACACAUUGCUCGAACUGAUAGGCUUGAGAAUGGUAGAGGUAGUUGGAAUUUCUUGUGUAGGAGUGAAAUCCGUAGAUAUAAGAAGGAACACCAAUGGCGUAGGCAGACUACUGGACCAUUUCUGACGCUGAGGCACGAAAGCGUGGGGAGCGAACGGGAUUAGAAACCCGUGUAGUCC